GUUUGCAGCGUGUUGUGUGUAUACGACUGUAGAGUCGCUGCGUAUUGAAAAAUUCCGACUAUGAAUGUUUCGCAAUGUUUCCGGCGUUACCAUUCCGUGAUUAGACUCAUCUGGCCGGUAAGCUUUCCGUUGCGCUAAAGAAAAUGGGUACCAUAAAAAUUGGUUGUCGGUUCCUUUAAAAGUAAUUUCUACUUGCGUGGAUCUUUUCAUUUCCUCUCGGCUUGUGGCGCUCCGUUACCUCAGUUUCAUUCCUUCAGGUGCCGCAUUGAGGCAUUCUUCAUUUUUUUUUCUUUUGCUCACAGCGACUCUUGAUUCAAGGAUGUCACGAGUUGUGCUGUAUUGGCAAAAGCAGACUUCCCUCAUUCGCUGCAGCCGUUUGCCUACGAUACGGGUUUUUUUUUGUUCACAGUUUACGCAAACUUUUAUUUGGCGCGCAGAUACGUACCAUUAUGGCUUGGAAAAAAAAGGGGUGCAUGUAAUGCAGCUGCAAGCGUGACCGACCAUGUCUUCCAGAUUUGCGUCAAUGGCGGUGGAGUCGUUAAUAUGGUUCAAACUUUUGAACGGGCUUCGAAUAAUGUCUGCUGCUGACCUCGUAUUCAUUUUGAGAAUUAACUGUUUUAAAUUUUCUAACAUUUGCUUAGAAAUGAUAGAUUACUUGGUAUUUGGUUUCAUAUUUGAAGACUCAUAUUUUGUUAUAUUUGUACGUAGCUUAAUUCAUAAUUAUAGCCCCUUCCAUCUCUGCAUUUUUGUGAACUGGAAGUCUGGUCACUCACAAAGCGAAACGUGUAACGGUGCAGGGAGCUUUUGUGGUGUGAAAUUGCGCUGCACAAAUAGCUUAUAUUUAUGACUUGUUUUUUGCAUGAUAGUUUUAUCACUAACAAACAUGGUGACAUGACGAAUCUUGUUAACGUUUUUAAGUGUUCAAUGAGCUAAACGGAACAGUCUUGUUGGAGAACAACGCGAGGUGUUGCGACGGGUCUUUGCGCGAACACUCUGCCUCCGAUUUCGAGGUUUUAGUUACGAUGGCAUCUUUGCCGAGGCUAUCUAAGACUGUGAGCACGUGACCGUCUUUCUUUGGGCAUAAGUAGACUUGCGACCCAUCGGAGGAGAUGGAAGUCUUCUCGUUCUGCUUUUUGAUGGUAAGCAGGCCACUGUAUUUUCUGUUGGCAUUACCAGUGUUUGGUUUAUACCCCCCCUCCAUUAACACAGUCCUUCUUUCGCACCACCCCAUGUGACGGGUUGCAUGUUCUUUUUUCUUUUGUACAGGCAUCGCAGCAUUUAACCAUAUGGCGCACGUUCGUUCAGCGCAUGUGUGAAGUCACUGUGUUUACAAUUAUGCGCACCGUGUAUUUUUUUUUUGCCAGAGUAGCACUUUUUUUUUGUACAUCUGCGAAGAUGGGGUCGAAAUUUCUCGUGUAUGCAGCGGCAGAGAAAUGCUCGCUUGCGUUUGUUUUGCUGUUGUUGUUUGCGUUGUUGUUGUUUGUCUUGUGUUUUUGUUCUCUCUUGACUACAUAACCGUGUGUCUGGGAGACGACCGACGUACCUGAGAGCGCGAGCUUCCUUUGUCGAGAGGGUGGCGAGCUCUUGCAAAGUUAUUUGGUUUGUGUGGGCACGAUUAUACAUUGACGCAGGCAUUGUAGCUAGGCCACUGAGACCUUUCUUUCUUACGGCUCUGUCACUCUGACCUCGGGCAGCAGUUUGGUACUUGUUUUUAUUUUAACUGUCGCAUUUUACGUUAUUUUUGGCAGAUUGGUUAACGUGCGGACAAUGGAGGCACCAAUGAGGUUGCAUAUUGUAGCCUCUGCACUGAAGUGUUCAAACAUCGAUGCAGUUCUGAUUCGUACUGCAAGUUAAAGGACCGAAGCAUCUUUCUUAUUUUAACGAUUGGUUGGCGCUUUUUAUUUCCCACCGUACUGUAGGUUGCGUGAUGAACACAGACAGAAAGGAAUGCUCGGCGAUGACUUGCGCUUUGGCCGUCUCCGCCUUCCUUUCCAUCCUUGAUUAUCGAGCACCUAAUGUCCGACCAGCUCAGCUUUUCAGCUGUUCUUCUGAUUGGGGUACCAGCAGGACAUUCAGUGGACUUUGUACAACCGAGUGAUUUAACUGUUCCCAGGGUUGUUCCCAUCACGUUUUGUUCGCUAAAAGUGGUGGCAGUCUUGUUUAUAGGAGCUAACAGAACCACAGCUGAUAACGAAAGCUAUUUUCAAGAAUUCGUUUAAAAUAUAUUCAUGCCUGCCUGGUGUUUGAUUAGGGAGAUGUAAAAUUCCUACUUUCACCAAACAUUUGUAAUAGUUGGAUGUAACAUUUGUCAUUACAUAAGCCAGGAUUUAGCGUAAGAAAUAAUUUUACGAGUCUCGUACAACACAUCAACUCAGGACAGGUGUUGCUGAACUUUGUCGAAUGUUAAGCAAAAGACUUUUAGAGAGAACAAAAGUUCAGCUCUUUCUUUUCCUCCUCUUUGAAAUUUUAUUGUAUGGUUUGGCGUUAUCCAGGAGAAAAAGAAAGCAGAUCAGUGGCCUAGCUACAGUAAAAAAUGGAAUGGCGAAACCAGUAGGCAUGUUGUUUAAGAUGUUGACAUUUUUUAUAGGGCAUUGUUUACCCGGACAUGUUAUCAGAGCAACCAUCGUUGAAAUUAUUUAGAUGCUGUUGAGAGAAAACACACGCAAAAAAAAAGAGAGAUGCACAUUUUAUGCUAAAGCCGUAUUUUAGUGUAAUCUGUAACAGUGCAGCAUCCGUUCAGUGCUGCCUUUUUAGACUGUUCAGAAAGUGACCUGCGUACAAGUUUGCGUACUUUACUAUUAUAAUAUCAUAGUUUAUAUGACAAUCGUGUCGGGUGUUAGUCACGGGGGUUUUGGGGAGUCGUGUCUAUUUUUUUGUUCCCCCUAUUUCAUGUUGCUGCCGCUGUACACUGUGCCGUGUUUGUAGUAUGUGCACAUUACUAACUGUGUGUCUAUCGAACAGAUUCGCUACAUGCAGUUUUGACAAUUCAGAAAGAGCGCGUACUGUUUUUUGCACAUUUUUCUUGUCAUUUGCAUGUGCGUAGUCCGUAGCACUCGUAGUCACGUUGUCGUGCCUGCCUGGCACGCAACGGUUUGCAUUCACAGAGAUAGGAUGGUAUGUUAUCUUCUGCACCGAUAUUAUUUUUGUUGUUGUUACGAUCGGAGAACCUUGAUAUUAUUGCGGAAUGAUUUGCGUGUUGUCAUUGACCACCCACCUAUUCAGUGACUGCGGUUUUCCCAAACCCGAUGAAAACAGUCUUGGCACUACUGUCAGUUUAAUCAUAGCCUCUAGCAUUACCAUGUCUAUGAUCACAGAUGCCGAGUUCACAUCUGAAAAUCACUAGCACACAAAAAGAAAAGUAAAAGGGAAGCUCACAUUUUGAAUGUGCGCCAUCCAUUUGAAAAUGCCACUGAAGAGGAGGGCAUCACAAAAUAAGAGGCGUGCACUGUGUGCCAAUAAACCUAGCUCAUUCUAGGUGAAUUGCCAUGUUUUGUGUUUUAAGUCAUUGGCACUACGUCACAUAAGGUUGUAUUCACCGUGGUCACUGAACAGGGGAAGUACUUGACUAACGUGCUUCGUGUGUACAUUUUUUGAUUAAGCUUCAAAUGCAUGACCAUCAGCUCCUGCAAAGCCUUCUUACUUUGUGUGUAAUUAGCUUUGCUUAAUUUUAUCAUUUCGAAAGUCAGACUCAAUUGGUACCGUGUGACACAGCGCGUCUAGGUAUUCCAAGUUCAUGGUGCUUGUGAGCAUUGCAUUGUCGUUGCGCCUGACCUUGUGCAAAGUUGUGUAAAACAAACAAACAAAAAAAUGCUCUGAGCUGUGUUCACCUGUGUGUGCGUUAACUUAAAGGAGUGCCGAUUCAACAGUUGCGACUUGUUUGCUAUGUCAAACGACGGUCACUAGCUCGUAAACAUUUCAAAAUUGAUAGGUAAAUGUCGCAGCACACGAAAUAAUUUUCGUUAGUAGCUCUUUCUAUGAGUUCAUUUGAGUUUUGGAUCUGUCAUGGCAUCGUAACACAAGGUAAAGUUGGGUGAACUAGUUUCGACUCAUGACAUGGAAAGGUGCGAAAAAGACAACACAAAAUAGAAAGCAUCGUAUACUGUGUCUUAUGUUCUGUCGUUGUCUUUUUCACAUCAUCCUAACAAAGUCACUUGCUUUGUUCUUGCAGCUGCACAUGUGCCAUGUACGAGCAGAGCCAGAAAAUUUUUAAAUAUGUAAAGGCUUUUCUCUUUUACGAUCAAAAUCAUACCUUGGUUCUCGCUACAAAGCAUUUGCAGAUAUUCUUGUGACAUCAAAUGGCACCAUUGAGGUGAUGUCUGGCAUUUUGAGGCGAAUUUUAGUUUCAAAUUGGAACAUUUUAUAAGUAUGACGUGGCCUUCAUAAUUGCCAAAAGUAGUCAUUUGAUGUGUGUAUGUAUUGCUUUGAAAUUACAUCGGUACUUCUUUAAGGAAAAUGCAAAACUAGACUGGGUGAUAACCAAACACGCCAAUCUCUUUGGCAAUGUUGAAAGAGCCAGUGAAAACAGGAGCAAGCCAAGCGCAGUCAAAUCAAGUGGUCGAAGUGGUAAAAUGUGUUUGGCUAGAGAAACACUUCGAUUAGUAUUUUAAUCCACUUUUGGACGUUGCAAGUCAGGAAUGCGAUUACUGGUCAUGAUGUUUCCGCCAUGCCGCUGCGGGAAUCACAAUCUCGCCGGCAUUUGACGAAGCUGACGUGUGCUUUCUUAACCGUAACCAGACAUGGCCGCAGGGAGAAACGUCUCUGCAUUCAGACGAUCAUAAAACACAUCAGCCAGAUCAUUUCACCCAUGUUGCUAAAAAUCAUUGCAUGUUCGCAAGUAUUUCACUCGCAUCCCGCGUGUUCAUCUUGCGUGUUUUUUUUUUUUCUUUACUGCUCCGAGCUUUUGAUAAAAAAAGUUUUUAAACUCGAGGCCCACUUGUACAGAUCAUCCCGUUUACACAUUUUUUGUAUAUGUCAACGUUGAAGCGGUUCAUCCAUAAUAAAUGUACUCGUCGCUCAAAUGUGCGCACACUCACCUUGUAGCCGUUUAAAACCCAUCACCACACACUAUCCCGAGAUGUUGCUUGCACAAAAGUUUUUUAAAGUGAGAAGUACAAUGCUAGCUAGAAUGACGGUUGACGUUAGGAGUGCCGAGUGCGUGCUUGUAUUGCCUGGAGUCUUAAUUACUACGCGAAUCGGCUAUUGUUUGCUGUUCUGUCUUGUAAAGAUCUAAGGGGGCAUGACGUCAGUAAAACACAGGUGCUGAGCCGCCUCCCCUCCCACCCAGGGAAGAGGAAAAAGCUGCCAGAUACAAGAACAACCCAUUAUAGCAUUGCCUCCAUUGCAUUCAUUUUUGUGAGCUACGUGCAGCUAGACCAUGAAUCGCAGUAUGUUUCAUGUGCCGAUGCCUUCUUCAACACCAUGUAUUGCCUUGCACGGCAACGAGCCCGCAUGCUGUGGGACACAAUGACCGGUGACGUUAUCGUAUAGUCAUUAUUAACAGAGUAUUAGUAGUUGCUUAUAUUAACCACGCACGAGGAUGCUGUUUUUAGUGAAGCCUCGACUUUACUUACACACCAGCAACUUUUUUCUUUUUUUCGAAUUGCGCCCAGCCUAUCGUACGCAGCAUUCUCACAGUCACAGUCACACCCAUACAACACAUUAGGUGGGCAUUAGCACCCUUGUCUGCUGGCUUUUUUUUUUUUGCCAGGUUUAACGAUGUUGCACAAAAGGGAGCCAAGCUAGCAGGCUGUAACACCACCAACCGUGUUGAUGUAUAAGGCUCAACCUUUAGUUCAGUAGAUGCUGGCAGUGAAUGCCAACAAAUGUGCACGGCUAGAGCCUGCCGAUGUUUUAGGCCAGCACUGCAGGUGUUCGUUGUGCCAGAAUAUAGUGGUUGGUUAGGAGGCGAUGGGAGUGUUUUGUUUGUUAGUGUCGGUGUUUGUGACUGUUUCGACGCACCUAACAGUGACUCGGCGUUGCUUGUUGUGGAGUGCGGCACCAGUUUUGUUUGUCUGGUUGGAGUUGCCGUUGGCAGUGCCAAGGAUUGCAGAGAGAGGUCGAUUGUGAAGAGAACUCGCGACAUACUGCCCCGUAAUGCUCACUGGUUGGUUUUUUGGUCCAGAGUGUUGGUGUAGUGUGAUUUGCUGAGGCAGUUGAUGGAGGAUGGUUUGUGGACGUUUUGAAGUGUUCUGUCGUCUGCUUUCCAAACCUUGCUGUUGUCACAGGAUUGGUGUUAACUCGGUGUUUUGUGGAGGCAGUGUGUGUGUGCGUCGUCUGACACUGCGUGUAGUUCUUGUGCUGGGUGUCGCGCAGCUGUAAAGCAGAGGUCGUCAUGACGUGCCCGUCAAGUGGCCUGGUGCCGUUUGCGGUGAUGUUUAAUAGCAGCGGUGUUUAACGUGCAAAGCUGCACUUGUUUGGUUGUUGCGGGACUUGGCUGUUUUUGAAUGUUUGUGGUUUGCCGACAACGUUGUGUUUGUGCCAGUGGUUUUCCAGAUGUUGUGGUUUUGACAAGUUACGCUUUGUGAAGUGCACGACUGGCGAAUUGGUGGCGCACGACUGCCAAACUUAUCUUCGCUCGUAAGAUAAACAGUGGGCGGAUGAGGGAAGCCUCAAUAUCAAGCACUGUUCAGCAACGUGGCAGUCUGUUCUUGGAAACAGCUGGCAUGGUGCUUUGGUGGCUGCCUUGGUAAAAACAAGACACCUUUCUAAAAGGUUGCUCUGAGCCUAGGGUCUGCUCUGUAUGCCAGCUGUUGAUCACUUGAGGCCUGCCAUGUUUCUGUGGCCUUUUGAUUCAUCUGGAUUGCUUACUGUUACACUGAAUCAUACGGCAACUUGUUAAAAACUAAUGAACAGUUACUUGUUUAAUGUCUUAUGUUACAAAACUGAAUUUUAGAAUAUUGUUGCACUGCAUUGCUGCUGUGACUGUACACUUUGCUCAUGGCUUAUGGUAUUGAUAGCUUCAGAGUAAUUUACCAUCUCACAAAAGGUUCGGGUACUUAUUGGCUCUAGUGUGCUAAAAACAGUUGAGAGUGAUUUGUUACAAGGGGAAAAAAGGCAAAUCUUUUGCACGAUAGCACAAUGUGUUACUUGAAUAAGUUAGUGCCUGCCCUUUAAAAGGCAAAAGAAUACAAAAAGCAUGUGCAAAGGACACUCGCCGCACAGUUGAAGGCCAAACAUCUCUACUUUGUGUGUUUGUGUCACUUUUCAUGUUUUUAACCUGGAAAUGCAUAUGUGCUGGUUAAUGUCCCGCACAUUAUAUCAAUAGAGUGGAAACAUCCAUGCCAAUCAGACAUUCAGCAUUAAAGCAAUCCAUAUACUAGUUAGUUAGCAUUUGUGGCUGGUUCAAUUCUUGAGGCGCCUUCACUGAAUACCACUGUGUCGAAUAUCAGCAUCACUUCUAACACGUUUUGCGCCUUUGUUUGGUCAGAAGCAGUGACCACUGCAUACGAGAGGUGGCUCAGUUACGCUGGAGUUGAACAUGGCGUGCACUGUUUUUUUUUUUUUUUUUUGCACAUAUUUCGGUCAUUCCCACACUGUGAAGUGCUUGUUGGAGAUAAGGGAAGAGUGGAAAACGUCAGCCAUGAUGACAGACACAUUGCUCUUGUAUAUAGCCCACCACCACUGCUCACAGCCAUGACUGCUAUUGAAUGCAGGACUCAACUGGUGUAAAGCUUCAAGCUGCCUGCGCAUAUACACAUGGUGUGUCGAUUUUGGCUGGGAUUCCUGCUGAAAUGUUCCGUAUGCAUUUCAGUGAUUCCGUAUGUUGUCCGUCUGAUUACGGAAAGUAGAAUCCGCAUAUACUCCGUAAAGUCAUACGGACUUACUGGGAUGACGUACGAAAGGUUUCAGUAGUGGCAUGCCUAGGAUACUGCUUCUACCAGUGUGUUCAGGUCAAUAACUUUUUUCUCUACCGUGACGUGAAGGUAAAACUACUACAAAAAAGGCUCUUCAGAGAGCUCGAUGAUGCUGUAGUCACUUUUUCUGUCAUCAACAGUAGAUGCCUUCGUGAUGCAUAACUCAUUUAUCACAGUUGGGUACACAAAAUAUGAACUGUAAUGUGAUGCCAAAUGAAGCAGUGGUGCUGUCGCAGCUCAUGUGAUCAUAAUGCUUGGUCACAUACCAGAUCCACAUAAAAGCAGAUUGGAUCCACUAAGCUGACAGUUAAUGUUGCCAGAUGAACAUUUGUAAUUGCGAGAAGUCGCUGUAAUCCGGAAAUUCGAAUGUAGUGCAUUUGGCAUAUAGGUAAAAGAGCAACAAAUGACGUGGCAUGAUGCCUGGAGCUGUGCAGUGAAAUUUCACUCUAAAGGGGGUAGCUUUUUAUUACCACUCAAAGGAUUGAUGUGCACUUUACAACAUUACUGCAGCCAAGAGAGUGAAGCUUCUGAUGCUGUGCAUAUGUUGAUGUGCACUAUCUAGCAUCGUGCUCAUUAAUUGUCAAUUAAAAUAAAAGAAACCUGCAUUUUAAUCUGGUGUAUACAUUUGUGAAUUGGGUGCAACGCAACCAGAGUACACCCAAAGGGGUGUGCUACUAGGCAUGCCAGCUGUCGCACACUUCGAGGUAGACUUUUGUUUUAUUACAGUUGUAAGUGUAUUUAAAACGUUUCGCUUUGGUGAUAAUCUGACGAAGUUGCACUUGAUAACAUAACGUGAACGCAAGCAUUCCAAGCCACAAAGCUGUGGGCACAGAGCUCUUUAUUUUGAAACAAAAAUGCUGAUCACAUUGCUUAUGAUUAUUAUUGCUUGACAAAUGUGCUAUCUGGAAGGUCUAUAAAUUAUAGAACCAUGAAAAGGAAUGUACUACAGGACACAUGCAUUCCAUUAUAUUUGGACAACACUGGGUGAGGCAGUAUCCCGGCAUAGCUUGCCCGUUUCAUUUGUUUUUCAUUGCGGCGAAAUUGCCUGCACUAGUGUUCUUCUAAUGCCAAAUACUCAUCAUUGGUGACUAAACCCCUCUUUUUUGUUUUUUGCUUGUCAUUCAUCUGCAUUGUACUCAAAGAAGAGGCGAAAAGCAUCUUAACCCUUCAUCAAAUGGAAGCACAAAUGUACUGUAAUACCAUCAUCCUUUCUCGCUGUCACCAAAAACACACAACACACACACAUGAAGCGCUAGGAAAUGCAAUAAAAAGAAAAAAAAUGAAUCUCAAGUUUCGAA